CCUCCAUGAGGACACCACGUGGUCGCGGUUAGCAGUUUGCCAUCCGGUGGUGUUGUUUCCACAGACAGUCGUCCAACCAGGGGGAGCAACUGUUCUGCUGUUAGCAAUCUCUGGUACCUGGAGCGCCCAGCGGGACACGGGUGGGGAAACCACCCUGCCAUGCCCCACAAACACACACCAAACACUGUGGACAAAGAUAAUCACAGCGGCGGAGGGAGGGCUGUUUCCUUAGCUGGCGGCGAGCUCGGAGGCGGAGGACACUGUGUUCUGAGACCUCUCCACUGAGCAGAGGACUGGGAACCCAGCUGCUACGCUGUGAAGAAGCCCAAACCAGCCUGCCUGGAGAGACCAAUGGAAAGACCCAUAUGGAGGGGAACUGAGGCCCCCAACCUACAGUGAGCACCCACCACCAGUUUUGUGAGUGAAUGAGCCUUCAGAUGAUUCCAAAUUCCAGCCUAGAUGCUUCCAGCUGAGGCCCCAGACAUCACAGAGCAGAGACAAGCCCUUCCUGCUGUGCUCUGUCCGAAUUCCUGACCCAAAGAACCUGCAAACAUAAUAAAUGGUUCCGCUUGGAAGUCACCACCUCUAGGAGCCCCCCAGGCCUCCCCUUGCACUGAGCUGGAAUUUCCUCCUCUGUACCCCAGGAGUAUGCUCAAGUCUUUGCAUUCUCCAUGUUGUCCUACAACUUCAUGUUUGGAUGUUUGCAUCCUCCAUAAAAGGGCU